CCUAUCGUAGGGGACGCAGCAGUAAGGAAUAUUGGUCAAUGGUGGCAACUCGACCCAACCAUGCCGCGUGGAAAUGAAGGUGGUGUGAAUCGUAAAAUUCUUUUAUGGGGAAGAAAAAUGGGAUUCUGAGGAUAUGACGUACCCAUAGAUAAAGCCCCCAUUUG
rnacentral:rRNA from 1 species